CCUGACUACAGCUCCUUCUCCUAAGCGCCCUGAAGUGACUCACACUUCCACCUGGAGAGCAGGAUUUUACCUAGCUGUUUGGCCUGCUACCUCUGCCAAUUUAAAAAUAAUAUUGAGACUGUAGGCAAGACAGUCAAACUGCAUUUGACACUGAAUGUCUGCCAAACACAGAUUGUGAAAAAAUCAAUAGAGCUCUGAAGGUGCCAGUGCGGCCCUGAGAAGCACAAGGAGCCAGCCAGCAUGUGUCCUGCCAUUCGAGGCCUAGUCCACCCCCUUAGUGCCCACCCCCCUUGGAGGUGGGGUCCAAGCAUCCUUGAUGGCCAGCUCCCCAUACUGCUCACCAACAGUGACAGGGCCUCCAGGGAAGCCCUCUGGCCUUUGAUGCCCUC